UCUGUAAUCGGAGUAUACUUGAGAGUCUGAUGAGGGGAUAAAGUAUACAUCCCCCAUCAAGACUCUACGUUUAAUUUGAUUUCGAUGUAUAGUUGUUUACAACUGAAAGCAGCAGACUGGAUUGAAGUCAAGUACUCACUGCGAUCAAAACACCGCCUCCGGUUUUUUUGUUUCUUAUGAUGCGGUCUCUGUCACAUCUGUAGACAUUGUAGUUUGGUGGAAAUAGUUCGUGGUUUCGAAAGUUCUCAUCAAGCCAGGUCUCUGUUAGAAUGAUAACAUCGUAUUCAAUCGAAGAGUUUAGAAUGUUUUUAAGGAAUUCCGUGGUUUUUCCUCUCAGACUACGUACAUUUUGUUCAAACCCUUUAUGUUGGCAUGGAACAGGGAUGUGCAUCCGAUGCAUGGGAGUAUGAGGCCACCACUGAAUUCACCUGAACACUCGGCGCAUUUAGACAUGCUGGAGUAAAUUUGGAGGCACUGGAAAGCCAAAACCACUUGAAAACUUUUCAGUGAAUAUCACUUUAGUCCUAGUUGGAUAGAAAGUUCAAUAACUGCACAGAAUCUUCACUUUUCUUGUCGAGACAUAACUUUUAGUUUUAGGUGUAUGUUGGUACAGUUUAAAAAAUUUUCUAAACACUUUUAGCAGCACUUUUGUGUUGAAAAAAGCUGGAGCGAAAGAUCUACGCGCCAGCUUAGUUAGCCCUUCAGC